AGAUGUUAGUUUGGGCCAUGAAUCACUUUGAUGCCUUCACAUGUAAUGUUUCUUAAUGACCUUGUCACGUUAUUGUUUGUACAUGCAGCUCAAUCGGAGACAGUGUCACAAAUUUCUUUCUUGUACCAGUGAGCCACAGACAGUUGAAUAUGUUUUCAGCAAGCAUUCAGGUAAAGAGCAGUUCUUGUAUGUCGCACAAAUGAUGUCUCCACUGUAUAAUGGUGUAUGUGAAGAUUGUAACUGUUACACACUUCAUGUAACAAUGCAACCAUUGUACAGCAAAUGGCUACUAUAUGAGUUAAUCUGUAUGCACAAACCUGUAUCAAGGCAACUGUGACAGUGAAGUUGAAGAUGUGUACUAUUUCCAAGCUUAUUAUGUAUAUCAUGUUAAAUCUGCACUAGACUGAAGGUCAAGGUCAUCAGAUCAUAAGUGUAUGUUUGUGUUGUGAAGUAACUGGAGGCAUGGGUUUUGUUUUGAAGUUGGACUACAUUUGGUGUGUGUUUUCUUAAACCAGAUGUAACUGACUGAGUUUAGUUUUACGCCGCUUUUAGCAAUAUUCCAGCAAUAUCACGGCGGGGGACAC